rnacentral:rRNA from 1 species
CCUUAGAGUUUGAUCCUGGCUCAGAACGAACGCUGGCGGCGUGCUUAACACAUGCAAGUCGAACGUGAUCCAGAGCUUGCUCUGGUGAAAGUGGCGCACGGGUGAGUAACGCGUGGAUAACCUGCCCUGGUAUCUGGGAUAACAUCUCGAAAGGGGUGCUAAUACCGGAUAAGCCUACGGGGUCCUCGGACUCUGCAGGAAAAGGUGGCCUCUAUUUAUAAGCUACCGUAUCAGGAUGGGUCCGCGUACCAUUAGCUAGUUGGUGGGGUAAUGGCCCACCAAGGCGACGAUGGUUAGCUGGUCUGAGAGGAUGAUCAGCCACACUGGAACUGAGACACGGUCCAGACUCCUACGGGAGGCAGCAGUGGGGAAUUUUGUCCAAUGGGCGAAAGCCUGAGAC